UGGGGAAUUUUGGACAAUGGGCGAAAGCCUGAUCCAGCAAUGCCGCGUGUGUGAAGAAGGCCUUCGGGUUGUAAAGCACUUUUGUCCGGAAAGAAAUCCUUGGCUCUAAUAUAGUCGGGGGAUGACGGUACCGGAAGAAUAAGCACCGGCUAACUACGUGCCAGCAGCCGCGGUAAUACGUAGGGUGCAAGCGUUAAUCGGAAUUACUGGGCGUAAAGCGUGCGCAGGCGGUUUGCUAAGACCGAUGUGAAAUCCCCGGGCUCAACCUGGGAACUGCAUUGGUGACUGGCAGGCUAGAGUAUGGCAGAGGGGGGUAGAAUUCCACGUGUAGCAGUGAAAUGCGUAGAGAUGUGGAGGAAUACCGAUGGCGAAGGCAGCCCCCUGGGCCAAUACUGACGCUCAUGCACGAAAGCGUGGGGAGCAAACAGGAUUAGAUACCCUGGUAGUCCACGCCCUAAACGAUGUCAACUAGUUGUGGGGAUUCAUUCCUUAGUAACGUAGCUAACGCGUGAAGUUGACCGCCUGGGGAGUACGGUCGCAAGAUUAAAACUUAAAUGAAUUGAC
rnacentral:rRNA from 1 species